rnacentral:rRNA from 1 species
UAGGGAAUCUUCGGCAAUGGGGGCAACCCUGACCGAGCAACGCCGCGUGAGUGAAGAAGGUUUUCGGAUCGUAAAGCUCUGUUGUAAGAGAAGGACGUGUGUGAGAGUGGAAAGUUCACACAGUGACGGUAACUUACCAGAAAGGGACGGCUAACUACGUGCCAG